UUGUAAUUUGAACGGUGAAUGCAAAGCUAAAGAAAGAAGGCACAGCAAUGAUUGAAAGAGACAAAAGUAUUUGCAUCGAAAAUCCACGCCACCGAAGGACUUUUAGCUGCUGAUGAAAACAUUGGUCGAAACAGAGCUCCAAACGCAGGAAUGAGGCACAAAACAAAUUUAAUUCUCUUUGCCAUCCGGCCAUGUCGUAAAAUGUUGUGUAAUAGAAUAUUGGCGUCCUAUAGUUAGUUGUUUGUCGAUCCACGGGUUCUGGCGGGGCUGGCGGUGCCUGAGUGGUAAUCUGAUGGAAAUCAGUAGUGUUAAACUUGCCAGGUUGCAGCGGAGGGAUAUAAUAACGAAGUUUUCUUGGAGCAUCCACUUGACAUAAGGCGAGAUGAUAUACACACUCACCAUGAAAACUUCCAUCCCCAUGUCGGUCAGCAAUCCGUUGACAAAGUGGAAUUUUUCCAGUGCCCCAUCGAAGGUCAUUCCUCCGAAUAUACCUUUGGGCAAAGUUUCCACCCGAUGUCCAUCGAUAUUCAGCACUUUCAGCAGACUCAGCACUUUCAUCGCAUCCGCAGGGAAAGCUGUCAACUCGCUGUGCACAAGAUGCAGCUCCAACAGCGUGUCGUUGAUCCCGUAGAACACAUGAUCGCUGAUGCUGGCAAUGGGUGUAUCGAGCACGUACAGUCGCUUCACGCUCAGCUUGUGCAGCAGGGUGCCAAAGAGGUUUUCUGUUGGAAAAUGGAAACCACAAGCGUGGAAAAUAAAGCAAGGCAUUAUUAGUACAUGAUCGUUACCGGAAAAAAUCGGUCAUUCGGCAACUGAAUAACACCGAUCACGCGUACAUGUAGUUUGAAUUGAAGGAAGCAUUAAGCACUAUUCACCUAAAUGUGAUGUAUUCUGACGCUAUGAACGUUCAGAAGUGUAUCUCGUAGAGUCCCGUGCACCAACGGAAAUAAUAAAAACGAAGCUGUGGUUUUUCCCCCAGUUAUCUGUCAUUGAUGACAUCUUUGCACUGCCAGCACCACUCCAAACAGCAUUUUUUGAUUAAUUAUUCUUUUUCUAGUCAUUGCCAAAUAAAAAAAACUCGUAUAUAAUGCCAG